rnacentral:rRNA from 1 species
GAUGAACGCUGGCGGCGUGCCUAAUACAUGCAAGUCGAGCGAACAGACGAGGAGCUUGCUCCUCUGACGUUAGCGGCGGACGGGUGAGUAACACGUGGAUAACCUACCUAUAAGACUGGGAUAACUUCGGGAAACCGGAGCUAAUACCGGAUAAUAUAUUGAACCGCAUGGUUCAAUAGUGAAAGACGGCUUUGCUGUCACUUAUAGAUGGAUCCGCGCCGCAUUAGCUAGUUGGUAAGGUAACGGCUUACCAAGGCAACGAUGCGUAGCCGACCUGAGAGGGUGAUCGGCCACACUGGAACUGAGACACGGUCCAGACUCCUACGGGAGGCAGCAGUAGGGAAUCUUCCGCAAUGGGCGAAAGCUUGACGGAGCAACGCCGCGUGAGUGAUGAAGGUCUUCGGAUCGUAAAGCUCUGUUAUUAGGGAAGAACAAAUGUGUAAGUAACUAUGCACGUCUUGACGGUACCUAAUCAGAAAGCCACGGCUAACUACGUG